rnacentral:lncRNA from 1 species
GAAUCAAGGUUCCUUGCUGAAGAAAUAAGAUUAACCUUGGCUCCUUGAUGAUAGUGAGAAUAAUGUUUUUAGCAGCAGAAAGACAUCCCAACGGUGAAUUUUUGAAUAACUUAUUUUUGAAACACAUGGCAGUACAAGCAUUGUCUAUAGCCCACCUGAUCUUAACAUGUUAAGAAACAUAAGUCAUGCAUUUAUUCAUGUAAAAAUUCGAUGAGACUAAUGUCGAAUGUGGAGGAUCACGUAAAAAAUUAUGUUAGCCAUCCAUGGCUUUUGCAUUACUAUCAUCAUGCCAUUUUUACUAUUUCACAUAAUGCCACCAUUCUCUGUCUUUGGUAUUUGCACAUAUCAGAGGAAUGUGAGUUGCUAUCCAUGUACAAGAUGACAGAAGAUCAGACCCAUGUCAAGAGAGGUCAAUGUUCAGCUGACCCUAUCCAACCCUCCACUAACCACUGGACAUGCAGCCACCAAGGGAUGUGAGUUAUCGACCUACUGGAGAAACUCUGGAGCAUCCAAAAGCCAUGUUAGUGGGAUAGAGGGUCAUCCAACCCUACGUAUAUCAGCUGACCCUAGGCCCACACACACUGACCUCCCUC